rnacentral:rRNA from 1 species
UCCGGUUGAUCCUGCCAGAGGUUACUGCUAUCGAGAUUCGACUAAGCCAUGCGAGUUGAAUGUUCUUCGGAACAUGGCGGACUGCUCAGUAACACGUGGACAACCUACCCUUGGGUCCGGCAUAAUCCUGGGAAACUGGGAAUAAUUCCGGAUAGGUCACCGAUGCUGGAAUGCGCGGUGGCCGAAAGCUCCGGCGCCCGAGGAUGGGUCUGCGGCCUAUCAGGUUGUAGUGGGUGUAACGUACCUACUAGCCUACGACGGGUACGGGUUGUGAGAGCAAGAGCCCGGAGAUGGAUUCUGAGACACGAAUCCAGGCCCUACGGGGUGCAGCAGGCGCGAAAACUUUACAAUGCGGGAAACCGUGAUAAGGGGAUCUCGAGUGCCAGCAUAUAAUGUUGGCUGUCCAGAUGCCUAAAAAGCAUUGUUAGCAAGGGCCGGGCAAGACCGGUGCCAGCCGCCGCGGUAACACCGGCGGCCCGAGUGGUAACCGCUAUUAUUGGGUCUAAAGGGUCUGUAGCGGCCAGGUAAGUCCCUUGGGAAAUCUGGCAGCUCAACUGUCAGGCUGCUAGGGGAUACUGUUUGGCUUGGGACCGGGAGAGGUGAGAGGUACCUUGGGGGUAGGGGUGAAAUCUUGUGAUCCUCGAGGGACCACCAGUGGCGAAGGCGUCUCACCAGAACGGGUCCGACGGUAAGGGACGAAAGCUAGGGGCACGAACCGGAUUAGAUACCCGGGUAGUCCUAGCCGUAAACGAUGCUCGCUAGGUGUCAGUCACGGUGCGACCGUGAUUGGUGCCGUAGGGAAGCCGUGAAGCGAGCCACCUGGGAAGUAUGGCCGCAAGGCUGAAACUUAAAGGAAUUGCAGGGGGAGCACUACAACGGGUGGAGCCUGCGGUUUAAUUGGUUUAAACGCAGGAAAUCUAACGGGGGGCGAAAGCAAUAUAAAGGUCAGGNUAAAGACUUUACUGGAUUAGAUGAGAGGGGGUGCAUGGCUGUUUUCAUUUUGUAGUGUGAAAUAUCGUGUUAUGUGAGGAAGAGAGCGAGACUCACCUGCAGACAUCAUAUUAUCCUCUAUGAAGUGUACGCUAUGGUGACGGCCGCUGCUAAAUAAAGGGAAGGAGUGGGCAACGGUAGGUCAGUAUGCCCCGAAUCUCCCGGGCUACACGCGGGCUACAAUGGUUGGUACAAUGGGCAUCUACCCCGAAAGGGGAAGGAAAUCUCUUAAAACCAAUCGUAGUUCGGAUUGAGGGCUGCAACUCGCCCUCAUGAAGCUGGAAUCCGUAGUAAUCGCGUUUCAACAGAACGCGGUGAAUACGUCCCUGCUCCUUGCACACACCGCCCGUCAAACCACCCGAGUAGGGUCUGGAUGAGGGUGUGUUUUAUUGACACAUUCGAAUCUGGGCUUUGCAAGGGGGGUU